UCUAAUUCCAAAUCGAACGGAAUCCAUAUGUAAAACAAACUCUAAUAACUAUGAAAAACAUUAAUCUAUCCACCUUAUGCGAUCGGCACACCGUCACCAUCCUAUGGACAAUUCCUGCACCUUCUUCCUGCACCAUUAAUAUUGGCCAUCAGCACAAAUUAACCAUCAUCCCUGGACUUAGCCACAUUCUGCUGUUUCGUCAUCGGCAUCAUAACCCAUUAGCAACUCCUCUGAUAACCAAUCACCACUCUUUCACCCACCGAUCUACAUCUCAUUAACUCCCAGAUACUUGUCCAAAGAUACAUGUCCAAAAACGGUGUCAACAUCAAUAUCUAAAGCUAUGGUCCAGUACUCUGAUCCAAUAGUGGAGAACAUCCGCACUGGUCUAGAACUAAGAACAGAAAAUCUUGAGUUUGAGCUCAAGCCAAGCCUCAUCAACAUGGUGCAAGCUAUCCAAUACAGUGGAAAGGUAAAUGAAGAUGCAAGUGCACAUUUGCAGGACUUCA
rnacentral:lncRNA from 1 species